rnacentral:tRNA from 1 species
GCGCCUGUGGUGAAACUGGCAGACACGAUGGAUUUAGGUUCCAUUUCCGCGAGGAAUGCAGGUUCAAGUCCUGUCAGGCGCACCA